UACGUAGGGGGCUAGCGUUGUCCGGAAUCAUUGGGCGUAAAGCGCGCGUAGGCGGCCCGGUAAGUCCGCUGUGAAAGUCCAGGGCUCAACCCUGGAAAGCCGGUGGAUACUGCCGGGCUAGAGUCCGGAAGAGGAGAGUGGAAUUCCUGGUGUAGCGGUGAAAUGCGCAGAUAUCAGGAAGAACACCCGUGGCGAAAGCGGCUCUCUGGAACGGUACUGACGCUGAGACACGAAAGCGUGGGUAGCAAACAGG
rnacentral:rRNA from 1 species